CAGUAGCCGCGGUAAUACGUAGGGUGCAAGCGUUAAUCGGAAUUACUGGGCGUAAAGCGUGCGCAGGCGGUUCGUUAAGACAGAUGUGAAAUCCCCGGGCUUAACCUGGGAACUGCAUUUGUGACUGGCGGGCUAGAGUAUGGCAGAGGGGGGUAGAAUUCCACGUGUAGCAGUGAAAUGCGUAGGGAUGUGGAGGAAUACCGAUGGCGAAGGCAGCCCCCUGGGCCAAUACUGACGCUCAUGCACGAAAGCGUGGGGAGCAAACAGGAUUAGAUACCCCAGUAGUCCUUGUCUCUUAUAA
rnacentral:rRNA from 1 species